CCUACGGGGGGCUGCAGUGGGGAAUAUUGGACAAUGGGGGGAACCCUGAUCCAGCCAUGCCGCGUGUGUGAAGAAGGCCCUCGGGUUGUAAAGCACUUUCAGUGAGGAAGAACGCCUGGUGGUUAAUACCCAUCAGGAAAGACAUCACUCACAGAAGAAGCACCGGCUAACUCCGUGCCAGCAGCCGCGGUAAUACGGAGGGUGCGAGCGUUAAUCGGAAUUACUGGGCGUAAAGCGCGCGUAGGUGGCUUGAUAAGCCGGUUGUGAAAGCCCCGGGCUCAACCUGGGAACGGCAUCCGGAACUGUCAAGCUAGAGUGCAGGAGAGGAAGGUAGAAUUCCCGGUGUAGCGGUGAAAUGCGUAGAGAUCGGGAGGAAUACCAGUGGCGAAGGCGGCCUUCUGGACUGACACUGACACUGAGGUGCGAAAGCGUGGGUAGCAAACAGGAUUAGAUACCCCAGUAGUA
rnacentral:rRNA from 1 species